rnacentral:lncRNA from 1 species
GGAACUCAGAGCAGUAUUCCAGCCUCCGCCACCAGUGUCCAUUCCCCACCCCAGGGAGGUGCAGUGGGAUGCGACGUGCCAGGUUCUCCAGUGACAAGCGUGAGGGAAUAACUCGGAACAGCAGCCUGAGCACCUACUUGUCACCUCAACACAUUGCUGGGAAAUUCGGCAGCUCUGCCUGUGGAUGGGCCUCCCCUGGAAGUGAUGAGAGCUGGGCUGGAGGAGGCAGAGCCCACCCGCCUGCUUGGACCCCAGGGCAGGGGGAUUGUCAGAUCGGCCCCCCUCCAGCAGGCUGCAGAGUGAUGAUUGCCAGGAGGAGCCAGUGUUCCCACAGGCUGGUGUGCCAGGCUCAUCAGUUAGAGUUUCAAGUGACGAGAACAUGACAGGCAGCUCAACCCUUGACCCCUCCCUGCUCACUGAUCUCAAGCUGUGAUUAUUUUUAAUUUCAAUGACGUUCAUUUGGGAGCAAG